UGUAAGCGUUAAGCACGAGGUAUGAAGCGAUGAUGAAACGUGAUCUUAUGGAUACGUUUUGGGCUCAACUACUGCGUGUGCGUUCCGGAUUUCAUCUUUGCAAGACCUUCAAGAGCAUCACUGGAAUUGUCACGAGCCCAUUGAGCACCCUGGCUGUCAGGCCAGUGGCUGCUUUGCCAUUUUUUUCCAGCCGAGCUACCGAGAUGAGCAAGGACGACCAAGCCCCAUCGACAGCUGCUGAGGUGGAAAUGGCCGCGACUCGACUACCUGGAGGACAGAGGUCAGUGAAGGAGGGCGAUGCAGCUCAGGCGGCAACCUCGACUGAAACGCGGCAGGCUGUGGGGGAUGCCUGGAGGCAGCUGCCAAGGGGAACAGAGGUACCGGUGCAGAGGGAGGUGGUCUCUGCCAGGCUGAGCGAGAAUGCUGCAGAAACAGAUGCCUCUGCUGGCCAGUGGGCACAAGGCGAUCGGAGCGAGACCAUUAAGGUAGAUGCUGAGCCUAUAGGGGCAGGACGGUACCAGGAACGAGCGGGCCAAUGGCGAGGUGGACCGGGGGUGAGCUUCACACCGGUCCACGCUAGACGACACAACUGUGUUCGGGUGGCCUUCAAGGAAGACGUACCAGAUGAAGUGACCAUGGACCGCUCGAGUUUUGUACGGACAGUGGUGGUGGGGAUGCUACAAGCCGAGCCUAUGGACCUGUUUUAAUAGCCUUGCCAGGCGGAAGCUUUAAGACGAGCAACAUAUUGCAGCGUUUCCUGACUCGCUUUAAGGAAAAGGCAGGCGAGAGGCAUCUGUCGCUGCUUAAACUGCAAUUAUUGUCAAAACUGGAUACGAAAAUGGUGACUGAAUUCCUGUAUAACAAGACACUAGCAGAUCACGAUGUGGAGGUAUGGUUGUAACAGCACUGCCAUUUGUCGGGUUGCAAGUGGGUCCAAGACUCGCUAGGCAUCUGGACAGGUGCCAGACAGUGGUGGGUGAGGUUGGAUGGGGCCCUGCAGCAUAUCCCGAGUGCCCUUAAUAUUGGCGGUAGUCAGGACUACAUCGUGUACAAGGGCCAACCCAAACUCUGCAGGAGGUGUGGGGGAAGAGGCCAUCUGGCAGCGGCGUGUGAGGCGCGAAUGUGCUAUCACUGCAAAGCGCUGUACCACGUAGUGGAAGAGUGCAGAGUCCCAGCACAAAUGUAAUCUUUGCGGGAGCAAGGACCAUCUGUACCGGAAUUUCCCGGAAUCAUACGCAAAUAUGGUCCGGGCACAUAACUAGACAUUUGAGAGAGAGGACAGAGGGACGACUGAGGCUGGGUUGGAGCACACACCAAGCAACCGGGCAACUGAUGGCGUGAGUGGAGAGAUGGCUGGACUGAGAACGCCACUGCUGGACGAGAGGGAGGAGGGGGAGGUGUCGUCUGAGGAUGGGAAAGCAUCCGCGAGCCGGCAGGAAGGUGGGCCCGAAGCCAAUGAGAUGGAGGAGGGGGCCCCUGAACCAACUGUGGCUGGUGGGCGGAGGAGGUGGAGGCGACAGAGGGCGAAGGGGUGCAACAGAAGAAAGGUGACAAGGGGUCUUUCGAGAGGACAGCAAAGAGGAAGCGGAGGACACAGAGUGCUUCACCCUGAUCUGCCCCCUGGGAAGGCCCUCAGCUGUCAGACUCUUCAACAGACUUGGUUACAUCUGAAUAAGAAAUAACAACCAAGACGAGCCAAGAGAGUGGGGGUUUUCCUCGAAACCCAUGAGUGCUGAAUGUCUCCUGGACUUGGUCGACAAGAACUGUUCAUUGCUGGAGGAUGUCUCUGAGCCGGACUAGACACCCCUGGUCAUGGAGCUCUCCAUAUCAUCAGUCAAUGUGAGGGGAAUCUGGGGUGUGGCUAAGCGUAGAGCAACGGUGCAUUAUCUGCAAACUUUAAGAAAAGACAUUCCCUGCAGGAAUGCCACCUGCCGUACUCCCUCGGCCGGGCGAAGCUGUUUAAGUCCUGGGACAGACACUGUUUCUGGUCCGGGAGCAACGCUAAGUGCACUGGGGUAGCCAUCCUCCUAAGACGUAGAAGGGCUGAGGUACAGGAGGCCCAGGAAGUGGUCCCUGGCCGUAUGCAAUAUGUCAACUCCACAUACGACGGUGCUCCAGUACGCCUAAUUAACGUAUACGCCCCCACGCGGUAUGCGGAGCGAGUGGAACUAUGGGGUAAUAUAGCUGCCCUGCUGGUUAUGCAGAGGCAUGUCGUAUUGGGGGUGAUUUCAACUGCCUGCUCAGCCUGUCAAAUGUGCUGUCUACUUCUGGGGGCUGGAAGAUGGACACCUCUUCUCGGAAACUCAGUGCCUUAGUUAAGGAUUUUGAUUUAACUGACACCUUUCGAUUGCUGCACCCAGCAUGUCCAGGUUUCACUUGGGCCCAUAGUUCGGGAUCUCUGCUUUCAAGAAUAGAUUUUCUUUGUCUCGGCUAAAAUUAAAGCGGAGUAUGUGGAGACUGAACCGUUCUCAUUUUCGGAUCACAAACUGAUUACGGCGAGGCUACGAAUUCUAGGUGGAUUAAGGUUAGGGAAAGGGAUUUGGAAGAUGAACGUGAGUGUCUUAGCGGACGAAAGUAAUGAGGGCUUUCAUCAAACGCUAUGAAGAAUGGAGAAACCCGGGAUUUCCUUCGAUAAAUUAAACAGGUCAGGGCUCCUGAUGAGAUGGAUAAGCAAAUUCAAAUUGAGGAACUGGAUGAGGCGGUGCGAGGUCUACACUUGCACAAUACACCAGGGAAUCACGGCAUACUGGCCGAUUUUUAAGCCAAAUUCGGGGGCACCAUCAAGCAUGACUUGUUACAACUAUACAUGGAAAUUUUGGCGGAGGGUCCAGUACCAGAGUGCAUGAGGGGAGGGGUAAUAUCCCUUAUAUAAGGGGAAGGGGGCCCGCAGUGACCUUGGGGGCUGGCGCCCAAUUACCCUGCUAAAUACGGACAUUCCAUCACAGCACGACUAGGGAAAGGGUGGUAGAGGAACUAAUAUAUGCAGACCAGACAUGUGUGGUCCCAGGUAGGCAUAUUUCAGACAAUCUUAUCUUACUAAGGGAGGUCCUAGAGACCACGAUUGAUGGGGGAGGACCACUGGGGAUUAUUAAUUUUGACCAGAAGGCUUUUGACCGCAUAUCGCAUGAUUAUUUGUUUUCGGUGUUCGCACGCAUGGCUUUUGAUAAAUGGGGUCCUUUCUGAAGCAGUCCCAGUUAGAUCAGGCGUGAGACAGGGGUGCCCCAUGUCGCCAGUCCUAUUCGUCAUUGCAUGGAACCGUUUGCCCAGGCGGUCGGAACCAAUCGGAGAAUUCGAGGGGUGCACAUCCUGGGGUGUAGAGAACAGGAAAAGAUAGCAAUGUAUAUGGAUGAUUUUGUGGUGUUCUGCAGGGAUGUCUCCUCGAUUUGGGAGGUACUGGAACUGCAAGACUUUUUCAUUUGGCCUCAGGAUCCAGAAUUAACCUGAGUAAGAGCAAGAUUAUGAUUUUUGGAGACCCUAGGCUUUUUGAAGGUCGGCCAACACAACUGAGUGCAGGUAGAAGGGAUUAAGAUCCUGGGGGUCGCCUUCUAUCAGCAGGAAUCUGCAAAAAGAACUGGAAGGAAAAAAUAAAGGCUGUGAACGGCAGGCUGGCCAGGUAGACGACCAGAAGCCUCACCAUCGAAGGGAGGAUAUUAGUGUUGAAGG